AGGAAAGUGCUAGUCGCAUAGUCAUCCUGGUUAUGGGAUUUGAGAUUCAGAAAUUACCUCUCUUACUCCUGGGAGUCUCCUGGGUCAUGACCUGGUCUAGCUUGACUGUGUCACCCUGCUAAUGUCAACAUCACACUCAGCAAGUAAUUCACAGCCCACAAGAGAUGGCCCGUGAAAGGUACAGUGUGUCAACAAUGGCUCACAGCUCCCCUGCGGCAGGGAUUCGGGGAAGGAGCAGGUGAGGCCCCCGGGUGGUCCUUUAAAGGUGAACACGAAGUGGUUUCCAGCUAUUUGAGAAUCCAAGUCUGGGGGACCCACCCAAGACGAGCCUUGAAAUAACAGGCCUGCACAAGAGUGAUGGGCCUGUUUCCUGCCAGGCCUCCAACGGAUACAGAAAUCGCCACCCCUGUGACCCGUCAACAGACCCUCAACAUAAGCUGCUGAGGCUGGCUCUUCGCGCAUGUCUCCUGGUCCAGGAAGCCAGGGUUCUGACUCUCGGCUUGGUCGGCACGAAUGACCGUCCCCCCUGGGAUGUGGAGCAGCCCUCACCCCACGGGAGCCUCUGCUGACCACCGGCCACCCCCCCACUGGCCCAGGAUGCAGGCACAUUAUGAGCUGUUCUCAGCUUAGCACUGCACAGCUGCCAGGCCAGAGUUAUGUGGGACCAGAGGGCCUCAGCAAGAGUGGAGGAGAUCCCUCCGAGGACGAGCUGCACCAAGGCCUCAGGUGCUUAGGAUGAGUCUUCCCCAAAGCCUUCCUGAGAAGGACCUCGGCCAUUUACCAGUGCUAUGGGUUGACCUGUGUUGGGGCCCCAAUAAGAUGCUGCAGCCCUCACCCCCAGUACCUGUGAAUGUGGCAAAAGGAUCUUUGCAGAUGACCAAGUUCAGGCUCCAUCACCCAGGAGCUGUUAGCUGAUAGCAUGGUGGAAUCGCCUGCUCAGCAGGCAGCUGGUGGACUACAGUUUGCCUUCGCCUUAAACCAGAGACACAUAUGGUUCCUUCUCAGCCAAAGUGCACAUCCAGAAACCAAGCAAUAAAGCAGUGUUACAUUAAAAAGAACAAAAUAACCAAAGAUACAAAUGACUCAGGAGAAAAAGAGGACAUGUGCCCAGCGUCACUGGGAGCUAAGAGGG